rnacentral:lncRNA from 1 species
AGAGACGCAGGAGAAGGAGCCCACUGGAAGCUGAUUCAGCGGAGACAGGAGGAGGUCUCUAUGCAGACUUGGCCAAGACACAAAAACAGGUAACAUGCAGCAGCCAUGCCCCAUCCUGUGUUCUGCCAGCAGCUACAAGGGAUGGAUGGCUGCUUCGUGGGGAGGGCCUGCUGGCUACUGGAAGCUGUCCACUGACCCUGGUUCUGUCCCACCAGGAAGAUCGCAGGACCUAAUACCAGUUCUGGAGACCCUGGCUGCACGUCCACUUUCUAAGGGUUCAAGUUAGCUGUGCACUGCAAGCAAGCAGUCUCUCACAAAUGGAAAGAGGCCACGGCACCUAUACAUCCCAGAGAAACUAUGACACAGCUCAUUUCUCCUCCCUAGCAGGCACUCAUGCAAGCAAACACCCCUGCUGGCUGAUCUCGCACCCAUCCACAAGCCACUUGUCAUAAUUCAAGGACCCAAAACAAACAAGCCACCCCUGAGACCCAUUCUGGCUGCAAGCAGCACCCCAUUCCUGGGGGAAGGGCACUCUAUACCGCACCCCCCUCCUGGGAGGGGGUGUCUUUGCCAGAACCUGCACCUUCCAAAUAAGGAAGAGCUACCUUUGGGCAACCUGGUUCUCCAGGCUCCAAGGCCCUGCCAGCUUGGUAGAGGAAGCUGGUAGUUGUUUUUGUUGUUUAAAAAAAAAAAAAAAAAGCCUCGCAAAAUGGUCGUCAGAAAAGCAUCCCCCAUCCCCAUGCACGCCCCUCGCCCUCAAUCCUGUACAGCCCUCAGACCCAUCUAAAUCUACCUCCAACCAUGUCAGGACAGAGAACUGGGCGCCAAGGCCGCACUGACUGCCGACAUCCGAGGACCCUGGCGGAGCACGCUGUGCACGUCAGAGCCUUUCGUGCCACCCAGACUCCAACACAAGGCUGUUGCCAGUGCAAAGACACGGCUCAGAAAGGCAAGGGUAGGCUCGCCCCUGUUGGACCACAAGCCAGGGAUGCACUUGUUUAUGGAAACAGGUGCUGGCUGUUUGAGUGCAGGGCGGGCGGGAGCCCGGACCUCAUCGUUGUGGUCCCAUUGAUCCAUCCAGAGUAAAAAAGACAUGCAUGUUUGCUCUGACCACGACACAGACUCACGACUGUAAUAGCCCAGUCACCGCAACACUCCCGGUUGCAGAGGCUCCCCAGGGCCGGGCUAAGUGAGGAGAGAGCCUCGCCGGCCUCUGCAGCAGCUCCCCACCCCAGGCCUCCAGCACAUCUCCUUCUCUCACAUUCGAGUCAGCUGCACAGGCAGCUCAGCGUGCUGCGCUGUGGCUUAUUUUUCUGGAAAUCUGUCACCGGGGAAAACAACAGCCUCCCGGCGUGCUUUCCUCCGACAUCACCGCGAGAUGCUGCGGCAGCAUCCCUGCCCUAGUCUAGUCCGUGCUGGAACAUCUGUGCAACGCUCAGGCUGUGACAGAGCCAAGAUGAGACCCAAAGCACCGACUUGUGCUCCGCAGCCCCGGCAGCUGCAUUCGCGGGGCCUGCAACGCCUGGCAGGAAACCCACAGGAGGGUCCUGCCUCACUCACCGGCUUUCUCUGCUUCCUCUUCAGCACAGGAUUCUUUAUGCUCUACCGAAGGUGGGCGUGCAAGGAGGCAUCUUCCGUCCCUUUAAGGGAGCCGAUGCUGCUACGUCCCCUGGCCUCCGGACCGACAAUGGGCAGGGUGGGUCUCCAGAUCGACAAUGGGCAGGGUGGGCUACUGCUGGAGGAGCAGACAUCUAAUAGAAGGUUGGCUCUCCUGCUCCCCGCCUCUCACAUCUCUGCCUCCUCCUCAUGUCUCCAGGCCCGGGUGGUACCCGGCUCCCCUGGGAAGCUACGGCCGGCAGCUGAGGCACGCGCUAAAACACGGCGUGGAUACGGAGGAGCUGACGUCACACGGAAACAAGCGUCUCUGUGCUGAGCCUGCCGGACAGGAUGAGGGCUGGCCAGGGCCCAGCCAGGGAGGGCCCAGACUCAACAGUCUUUAAAAUACCUCAUCUGGGAGACACCCUAGGCGGCUAGGGUCCUUCCCAUCAGCCCCGGCUGGGAUUCUGGGUGCAGCAACUCCAGGCAUGGCAAUAUGGUCUAUGAUAUGAGCGCCAUACAAAAGCACCAAGAGACUGUGAACACUCAGGGGCUAGCCUGUGCCCAGAACGAGGACUGUGGCCUGCCUGAUGCAGUCCAAACCCUGGGUCAAAUGGCCUUUGCAAAUUUUAAGUGCAUCCACGACACAGAGCUCACCUCGUGGAGGGUGACAGUGGGUAACAGCCAAAGUAAUAAGAUGAGGAUUUAAGUCCCCAGAGAACUGAGCAACUCUCGCUGGCCUGGUACCACACAAAAGCAAGCCAAGGUAGGAGGUGGGCCUAAUAUACUAUGCUGUGUCCUGGUGUCCCAGACAGUCUGCGAGCUAGUGAUGGACCGACUGCUUGAUCCUCAUGCUUCACCACGCUGGUACAUGGCGUGGAACCCACCGAGGAUCUGCUGGCCAAGCCACACUUACACCACAGUGACAUCGAUUCAGAUCUGUGUUUGUUCGCCUAGGCUCUAGGUUCAAAUCACAGCCCCUUCAGUGGAGCGCUGAACGGAGGGAAGCCAUUCUCCCCAGACAAAGCUUCCCCUUUUCGGCAGCUGAUAAGCUCUGCGCAGGGCACUUCAGGAAAUGUGGAACUUAGAGACAACCGCGAUUGGAAGGCCCCUCUUUUGCCAUGUGGUUCUCUAGCCAAGCAAGACUCAAGAGUGGCUCUUGAGAAGGCGGUGGUGGCGCACACCUUCAAUCCCAGCACUUGGAAGGCAGAGAAGACUGCCAGCCUGAGGUACAAAGAAGACCUUGUCUCUAAAAACCAAGGGCCAUGGGUGCAGUUCAACAGUAUAACCCUUGCCAAAAUGUACAACGCGGUGGAUGAAAUUUCCAGCAUUCAAAAAAAAAAAUCUUAACACUUUUAAUUGGUGAAGUAAGACAAAAUAAUAUUUUGAAAAGCAUAAACAUAUCUGAAACACAAAUUUCAGUAUAUGCAAAAGUUUUAUUGGGAUCCUCACUGAGGUACAGUGCAGUGACAAGAACUGUUGUUUAAGAUAGAGACAUACUAUACAGUCCACAAAGCCCAAAAAUAUUUAGUUCCUGGUCCUAUACUAGCAAGUUUGCAAGCCCUUGACAGAAUCAUACAAUAACCGAACCACGACCUCCAUGAUGGACUUCAACAAGAAAAAUGUGCCCAGUGUAAAAAUUAGCAUCACACCACAAACACUGUCUGGCCAAUUUCUCUCUUCCAGUCCAGCCCAAAAUAUCCAGUUCUGCAAAAACCGCUAGAAAAUGGGAGCUGAACUGGCUGAUUGCUAAUUUUGUUAGAAGCCUAUUUUAGGUGCAAAAGUAGCUUUCCCAAAUUGUUGCAAAUAAUCUGAGACAAGUCUGAAUGAAAGUAAAAUUUUAACAAAAUAAUAGGUUUACCUAUAAAUACUAGAGUCUCAGGAAGUUGGAAAAGAUUGGGCAGUUUGCUCAGAGAUAAUCUACCACUCUACCUGGAUCUCCCUGACAACCACCUGGUGAUCCACAAAGUCCACCCACCCUGAACCAGGCUCACUUCCUCCCAAUCUCCAUGACAAGGAGAGUGUACCUGCAUUUAGCUACUUUGUGGCAGGCCUAGCUACUUUGUGGAUUCUUCUUUUCCCCCCACCCUUUAACCAACCACCCCUGCCCAGUUUCACCUCCUAUCACUGGAUAGGAGAGAAAAGAGAGGGGAGAGAGAUCCUUGAAUCUAAUUUAUUUCUUCUUGUUUCUUCUUUGAGUUCGUCUACUAACAAACCAAACAACCCUGCCUCUUGGGGCCCUAGCAUUUAUGCACCCUCUGAAAAGUCCCCAGAAUUCCAAAUGUCACACAAUUGCAGAACUAUCUGAGGCUGGCAAAACCGUGCUUCUGCUAAAAGCACGAGGCAAAUCAUAGUCAGCUGCUGCUGCUGCCAGUCGGGAGCAACCCCUUAACCCCACUCCUGGGAUUAAAGUGAAAACAUGUUCUUACG